rnacentral:rRNA from 1 species
GAUGAACGCUGGCGGCGUGCCUAAUACAUGCAAGUCGAGCGAACGGACGAGAAGCUUGCUUCUCUGAUGUUAGCGGCGGACGGGUGAGUAACACGUGGAUAACCUACCUAUAAGACUGGGAUAACUUCGGGAAACCGGAGCUAAUACCGGAUAAUAUUUUGAACUGCAUGGUUCAAAAGUGAAAGACGGUCUUGCUGUCACUUAUAGAUGGAUCCGCGCUGCAUUAGCUAGUUGGUAAGGUAACGGCUUACCAACGCAACGAUGCAUAGCCGACCUGAGAGGGUGAUCGGCCACACGGGCAGUGAGACACGGUCCAGACUCCUACGGGAGGCAGCAGUAGGGAAUCUUCCGCAAUGGGCGAAAGCCUGACGGAGCAACGCAGCGUGAGUGAUGAAGGUCUUCGGAUCGUAAAGCUCUGUUAUUAGGGAAGAACAUAUGUGUAAGUAACUGUGCACAUCUUGACGGUACCUAAUCAGAAAGCCACGGCUAACUACGUG